rnacentral:rRNA from 1 species
UACGUAGGGGGCUAGCGUUGUCCGGAUUUAUUGGGCGUAAAGAGCGUGUAGGCGGCCAGAUAGGUCUGCUGUGAAAACUCGAGGCUCAACCUCGAGCUGUCGGCGGAAACCAUUUGGCUAGAGUCCGGAAGAGGAGAGUGGAAUUCCUGGUGUAGCGGUGAAAUGCGCAGAUAUCAGGAAGAACACCUAUGGCGAAGGCAGCUCUCUGGGACGGUACUGACGCUCAUGCACGAAAGCGUGGGGAGCAAACAG